rnacentral:rRNA from 1 species
CGCGUAGGCGGCCUGUUAAGUCGAACGUGAAAUCCCUGGGCUCAACCCAGGAACUGCGUCCGAUACUGGCAGGCUUGAGUCCGGGAGAGGGAUGUGGAAUUCCAGGUGUAGCGGUGAAAUGCGUAGAUAUCUGGAGGAACACCGGUGGCGAAGGCGGCAUCCUGGACCGGUAUUGACGCUGAGGCGCGAAAGCCAGGGAGCAAACG